AUUGAACGCUGGCGGCAUGCUUAACACAUACAAGUCGAACGCCCUCUUCGGAGGGAGUGGCAGACGGGUGAGUAACGCGUGGGAACCUUCCCUAUGGUACGGAAUAACUCAGAGAAAUUUGAGCUAAUACCGUAUAAGCCCUUCGGGGGAAAGAUUUAUCGCCAUUGGAUGGGCCCGCGUCGGAUUAGCUUGUUGGUGAGGUAAAGGCUCACCAAGGCAACGAUCCGUAGCUGGUCUUAGAGGAUGAUCAGCCACACUGGGACUGAGACACGGCCCAGACUCCUACGGGAGGCAGCAGUGGGGAAUAUUGGACAAUGGGCGCAAGCCUGAUCCAGCCAUGCCGCGUGAGUGACGAAGGCCUUAGGGUUGUAAAGCUCUUUUGGCGGGGACGAUAAUGACGGUACCCGCAGAAUAAGCCCCGGCUAACUUCGUG
rnacentral:rRNA from 1 species